ACGCUGGCGGCGUGCCUAAUACAUGCAAGUCGAGCGGACAGAAGGGAGCUUGCUCCCGGAUGUUAGCGGCGGACGGGUGAGUAACACGUGGGUAACCUGCCUGUAAGACUGGGAUAACUCCGGGAAACCGGAGCUAAUACCGGAUAGUUCCUUGAACCGCAUGGUUCAAGGAUGAAAGACGGUUUCGGCUGUCACUUACAGAUGGACCCGCGGCGCAUUAGCUAGUUGGUGAGGUAACGGCUCACCAAGGCGACGAUGCGUAGCCGACCUGAGAGGGUGAUCGGCCACACUGGGACUGAGACACGGCCCAGACUCCUACGGGAGGCAGCAGUAGGGAAUCUUCCGCAAUGGACGAAAGUCUGACGGAGCAACGCCGCGUGAGUGAUGAAGGUUUUCGGAUCGUAAAGCUCUGUUGUUAGGGAAGAACAAGUGCAAGAGUAACUGCUUGCACCUUGACGGUACCUAACCAGAAAGCCACGGCUAACUACGUGCCAGCAGCCGCGGUAAUACGUAGGUGGCAAGCGUUGUCCGGAAUUAUUGGGCGUAAAGGGCUCGCAGGCGGUUUCUUAAGUCUGAUGUGAAAGCCCCCGGCUCAACCGGGGAGGGUCAUUGGAAACUGGGAAACUUGAGUGCAGAAGAGGAGAGUGGAAUUCCACGUGUAGCGGUGAAAUGCGUAGAGAUGUGGAGGAACACCAGUGGCGAAGGCGACUCUCUGGUCUGUAACUGACGCUGAGGAGCGAAAGCGUGGGGAGCGAACAGGAUUAGAUACCCUGGUAGUCCACGCCGUAAACGAUGAGUGCUAAGUGUUAGGGGGUUUCCGCCCCUUAGUGCUGCAGCUAACGCAUUAAGCACUCCGCCUGGGGAGUACGGUCGCAAGACUGAAACUCAAAGGAAUUGACGGGGGCCCGCACAAGCGGUGGA
rnacentral:rRNA from 1 species